rnacentral:rRNA from 1 species
UACGUAGGGGGCCAGCGUUGUCCGGAUUCAUUGGGCGUAAAGCGCGUGUAGGCGGCCAGGUAGGUCCGAUGUGAAAUCUGGAGGCUCAACCUCCAGCGGUCAUUGGAAACCAUCUGGCUAGAGUCCGGAAGAGGAGAGUGGAAUUCCUGGUGUAGCGGUGAAAUGCGCAGAUAUCAGGAAGAGCACCAAUGGCGAAGGCAGCUCUCUGGGACGGUACUGACGCUGAGACGCGAAAGCGUGGGGAGCGAACAGG